rnacentral:rRNA from 1 species
AGAGUUUGAUCCUGGCUCAGAACGAACGCUGGCGGCGUGCUUAAUACAUGCAAGUCGAACGAGAAAGUCACCUUCGGGUGGCGAGUAAAGUGGCAAACGGGUGAGUAACACGUAAGCAACCUACCCAUAAGUUUGGGACAACACUGCUAACGCGGUGCUAAUACCGGAUGUGAACAAUUUUUCGCAUGAUUAAUUGUUUAAAGACUUCGGUCGCUUAUGGAUGGGCUUGCGGACCAUUAGCUUGUUGGUGGGGUAACGGCCUACCAAGGCUUCGAUGGUUAGCCGACCCGAGAGGGUGAUCGGCCACAUUGGGACUGAGAUACGGCCCAGACUCCUACGGGAGGCAGCAGUAGGGAAUUUUGCGCAAUGGACGAAAGUCUGACGCAGCAACGCCGCGUGAGCGAUGAAUGUCUUCGGAUUGUAAAGCUCUGUCGAGUGGGAAGAAAAGCUUCGGUAUGACGGUACCACUCGAGGAAGCCCCGGCUAAUUACGUGCCAGCAGCCGCGGUAAUACGUAAGGGGCAAGCGUUGUUCGGAAUCACUGGGCGUAAAGGGAGCGCAGGCGGAUAAGUAAGUUAGGAGUUAAAGACGGCGGCUCAACCGUCGACCUGCUCUUAAUACUGCUUGUCUUGAGUACAGAAGAGGAAGACGGAAUUCCAGGUGUAGCGGUGGAAUGCGUAGAUAUCUGGAAGAACACCAGUUGCGUAGGCGGUCUUCUGGUCUGAUACUGACGCUCAUGCUCGAAAGCUAGGGGAGCAAACAGGAUUAGAUACCCUGGUAGUCCUAGCCGUAAACGAUGGACACUAGUUGUCGGAGGAGUCAAUCCUUUCGGUGACGAAGCUAACGCAUUAAGUGUCCCGCCUGGGGAGUACGCUCGCAAGGGUGAAACUCAAAGGAAUUGACGGGGGCCCGCACAAGCGGUGGAGCAUGUGCUUUAAUUCGAUGCAACGCGAAGAACCUUACCUGGGUUUGACAUGGGGGUGCAACUCUUUGGAGACAGAGAGCCUUCCCUCGGGAACACCCUACACAGGUGCUGCAUGGUUGUCGUCAGCUCGUGUCGUGAGAUGUUGGGUUAAGUCCCGCAACGAGCGCAACCCUCGCCCUUAGUUGCCAUCAGGUCAAGCUGGGAACUCUAGGGGGACUGCUUGGUAUAACCAGGGGGAAGGUGGGGAUGACGUCAAUCAUCAUGGCCCUUACGCCCAGGGCUAGACACGUGCUACAAUGGCCAGUACAGCGGGAUGCUACACUGCAAGGUGACGCUAAUCCCUUAAAACUGGUCCCAGUUCGGAUUGGAGUCUGCAACUCGACUCCAUGAAGGUGGAAUCGCUAGUAAUCGCGGAUCAGCACGCCGCGGUGAAUACGUUCCCGGGCCUUGUACACACCGCCCGUCAAGCCAUGAAAGACGGUAGUGCCCAACGUCGUUCCUCUAACCGCAAGGAAGAGUGCGCCUAAGGUAAGACCGUUGAUUGGGGCUAAGUCGUAACAAGGUA